CCUACGGGGCGCAGCAGUGGGGAAUAUUGGACAAUGGGCGAAAGCCUGAUCCAGCCAUGCCGCGUGUGUGAAGAAGGCCUUCGGGUUGUAAAGCACUUUCAUUGGGGAAGAAAGCCUUGGGGCUAAUACCCUCGAGGAAGGACAUCACCCACAGAAGAAGCACCGGCUAACUCCGUGCCAGCAGCCGCGGUAAUACGGAGGGUGCGAGCGUUAAUCGGAAUUACUGGGCGUAAAGCGCGCGUAGGCGGUCUGAUAAGCCGGUUGUGAAAGCCCCGGGCUCAACCUGGGAACGGCAUUCGGAACUGUCAGGCUAGAGUGCAGGAGAGGAAGGUAGAAUUCCCGGUGUAGCGGUGAAAUGCGUAGAGAUCGGGAGGAAUACCAGUGGCGAAGGCGGCCUUCUGGACUGACACUGACGCUGAGGUGCGAAAGCGUGGGUAGCAAACAGGAUUAGAUACCCCGGUAGUC
rnacentral:rRNA from 1 species